rnacentral:rRNA from 1 species
AGUGAGAAUGCCGGAAUGAGUAGCGAGAAUUAUGUGAGAAUCAUAAUGGCCGAAAGACUAAGGUUUUAGAAGGAAGGUUCGUCCGCUUCUAGUUAGCCGGGAGCUAAGGCGAGGCCGAGAGGCGUAGUCGAUGCACAUACGGUUGAGAUUCCGUAGCCACCUAAUAUUUAAACUAAAUGACACAUGUGAAGGGCAUGACCCGGGCGUUGGUUGCCCCGGGCGAAAGGGACUGAAAAUAAGUAGGGAAGCAUGCUUGAAUCGUGGCGAGAAAAGUUUAGUGUAUAUAAAUUGGGUGCCCGUACUGCAAACCGACACAGGUAGUCAGGAAGAGGAUUCUAAGGCCAUCGGGAGAAGGGUUGUUAAGGAACUCGGCAAAUUGACCCCGUAACUUCGGGAAAAGGGGUGCUCACGAAAGUGAGCCGCAGUGAAUAGGUCCAGGCGACUGUUUAUCAAAAACACAGCUCUCUGCUAAAUCGCAAGAUGACGUAUAGGGGGUGACACCUGCCCGGUGCUGGAAGGUUAAGAGGAGGAGUGCAAGCUCUGAAUUGAAGCCCCAGUAAACGGCGGCCGUAACUAUAACGGUCCUAAGGUAGCGAAAUUCCUUGUCGGGUAAGUUCCGACCCGCACGAAUGGUGUAACGAUCUGGACACUGUCUCAACAACCCACCCGGCGAAAUUGUAGUACCGGUGAAGAUGCCGGUUACCCGCGGCAAGACGGAAAGACCCCAUGGAGCUUUACUGUAGCCUAAUAUUGGGUUUUGGUAUUCUAUGUACAGGAUAGGCGGGAGACUUGGAAGUAAGUGCGCCAGCACUUAUGGAGUCGCCCUUGGGAUACCGCUCUUAGAGUACUGAAAUUCUAACCUGCGGCCUUGAAUCAGGUCGGGGGACAUUGUUAGGUGGGCAGUUUGACUGGGGCGGUCGCCUCCGAAAGAGUAACGGAGGCGUUCAAAGGUUCGCUCAGCAUGGACGGAAACCAUGCCUCUGAGUGCAAACGCAAAAGCGAGCCUAACUGCGAGACUGACGGGUCGAGCAGUAACGAAAGUUGGAGUUAGUGAUCCGGCGGUAUGUGAGUGGAAAUGCCGUCGCUCAACGGAUAAAAGCUACCCUGGGGAUAACAGGCUGAUCUCCCCCAAG